UGGCGGAAUCUGUAUUGUCAAACACGGAAGAAGAAGGAUACAACCAUAAUUAAACCAAGAAGUUUAUGAAGAAGGGAUCACUGGAUUUUGUCACUUUGGUACAAGAAACAGAAAAGCAUAGGAGCUGUUGAAGGAAAUUGCUGCCAGACAGUCAGCAGUUAUCACUGACAGCCUGUCCUGGCCCAGCUUGGACCAUCCUCAAGCUAACCAUGAUGGUGUGUUUGCAAGAAUUGUCCAUUUGGUAGACCAUGAUGAAGACCAGCUUUGUUGUGGCAUGGCCUGACAAUGCUGUACAAGCCAGAGACCAAAAAAGGGUUAAGUGGUGACUGAUCCUCUCACCCUCCUUAUCCAGGAAACAUUUCGGAACAACGUGUUGGCACUGAAGAUGUGGAGGACACAGAUUGAUCACAGUACAUCCUUUGGAUACAUGGACACCUUCAACGUGACGACAACAAAACUGUACCUGCCUUUUUUUUUGAAAGGAAGUAGUUCAUAAAAUUAUUGUUAACAGCUUUUUUAGUCUUGUUGUUUAAGAAUGCUUGCAACAUUUAAGUGGAUAAACGGUUGUUUUAAAUUUGAAUCUUCAGUAAUGCAUUCUUUAUUAAAUGAUGUAAUCUUAUUUCUUUCAAUAUAGUGUAAAUAAUAAAGAACAUAAUUAUCCUUUGUAUACAAAAUGAAAACCAAGUUUACUGUCCUAUUAAUAAUUAUUUAUUUAUCUUGUUCUUUUGUCAGAAAUACUACAGGGGCAUACAUACAGUAUUCCUUAAAUGAAAGGGGCAGUUCUUAGAAAAUUAACAUGUAUUUUAGCAAUUCAUAUUCAAACUUUUUCCACAUUUAUAACCAGCAACAAUAUGUAAGUAGUAUAAUGUAACACAAAUUAAUACUAUGAAUUUACUACUGAUUUUGCCGUGCCUGUCAUCAAACAUGUUUGACUGAAAGUUUCUUAAAAGAUGCAUGUACUUAAGGUUGUUCAAGAUUAGGCUGUGCAGACUGCACAGGCUAAUCAGGGGCAACACUUUCCGCCUUAUCUGGAUUUUCUCUAAGAGACUCCAUUUCAACAAAAAAUACAAUAAAGCAGCAAUUGUCUGCCUGAUUGGUAUGAUCAGCACAUGUUUAUCUCGUACGACAAUUUACGCACAUGCAUUAAGCCCCAUUUUCCCAGGGCAAGGCUCACCUAUUUAGGUUUUAGCUGUCUAUAUGCUCCUUAACUUUUGAAUCAUGAUGCAGUUUCAUAUAAUAAUGUAUUAUGAGUUGUUUUUAAUUGAUGCAUAUUCUUUUGUUCAGUGUUGAACUCAACAUGUAUUAUAGUAAGGUGUUCACUUAACAUUCUUGCAGUAAUGUUUUGCUGUGUAAUAUACAUGUAAUAAUAAAUCAAAA